AUUAAACGCUGGCGGCAUGCCUUACACAUGCAAGUCGAACGGCAGCACGGGGGCAACCCUGGUGGCGAGUGGCGGACGGGUGAGUAAAGCAUCGGAACGUAUCCUGGAGUGGGGGAUAACGUAGCGAAAGUUACGCUAAUACCGCAUAUUCUGUGAGCAGGAAAGCAGGGGAUCGCAAGACCUUGCGCUCUGGGAGCGGCCGAUGUCGGAUUAGCUAGUUGGUGGGGUAAAGGCCUACCAAGGCGACGAUCCGUAGCGGGUCUGAGAGGAUGAUCCGCCACACUGGGACUGAGACACGGCCCAGACUCCUACGGGAGGCAGCAGUGGGGAAUUUUGGACAAUGGGCGCAAGCCUGAUCCAGCCAUGCCGCGUGAGUGAAGAAGGCCUCGGUUGUAAGACUCUUUGUUCCGGUAGCGAAACGGUUGUGGUGAAUAUCCACGACUACUGACGGUACCGGAACGAAUAAG
rnacentral:rRNA from 1 species